rnacentral:lncRNA from 1 species
GAUGAGGAUUCUACUUUUUCCUUCCCCUUGGAUGUUCUUUUAGGUGGCAUCUUGCAAAAGUGCAAAUUAUUCAUAUUAAGUCAUAUAGAACGGAUAGAUAAAUAAGAAAACAUGAAAGAACGUAUAUGAGUCACAAGUCUCACAAACUUGCUUCAAAGUGCACGUGUACAUUGUUAGCGUGCUAGAUGCAUCGUGUUAAAAUCAAGUUCAUAUUAAGGAAAUGUGAACCACUAAUAAAACUUAGCUCAAACAUGCACUUUGUUAAAUUUGAACCCAUUAUCGACUUAGGACUUUCACCCACGGGCACUGUUGAGAAAUAUCAAAAAAAUUUCGGGUGAUCUCUGGGCAUAUGAAAUGAUCCAUGUUACACAUACCCGAAUUUUAGGUCAUUUGGACUUCAUUUGGGUUGUCAAAUUGUGGGGCAAAGUAGGCGACAAGAGGUGCCGUGAUCUGGCCAUGUUAUGCUUACGUGUGUGCUAUUUGGGUGUUUGGUGUUUUCCAAGGCAAAUUCCAUGGGAAUGUACUCAACAUGGACUAGAAUUCAGAUAUCACGUAAAUCAAUUUCAAGAUUCACAAAAACCCGCAAAAACCAUUACCUAGGCAUUUUAUCCAACACAUUGUAUGCAAAGUGUGUUCUUCCUACUUGGAUGAUGCAUAUGUGUAGCUUCAACCCCAUUAAUCACAAUAUACUCAUAGGCCAACACAUUACAACACAUAACAUCCAAACUCCAUCAAGUACCUUAGAGAAAUUCAGGAAUUUCCCUAAUUGCAAAAUUGAUAAACAGGGUUUUAGACGAUUUACUUUGCAAUAUUGAUAUUGGAGUGCAAAAUUGAAUGCAAUUAAUGCCAACCCUUGAAGAUGGAUCCUUGAGGAGUCGAAACUCGGGUGUGCCUCUAUUUGGAUUGUGUAUACACCAUGAGUUGUGUUUGUGUAGGUGUGUGCACGUGUUGAGUUUGUGAAUGUGUUUUGAAUGUGGGGUGUGAAAGUGUGAGCUCUGUGUAAAUGUCGUAUGUGUGGGGUGUUAAUAGAAUACUCCCCCCCCCCC